UUCGGCGACCAUAGCGUUAGGGAAACACCCGGUUACAUUCCGAACCCGGAAGUUAAGCCUUUCUGCGCCGAUGGUACUGCAUGGGAGACCGUGUGGGAGAGUAGGACGUCGCCGGAC
rnacentral:rRNA from 1 species